rnacentral:rRNA from 1 species
UACGUAGGGGGCAAGCGUUGUCCGGAAUCAUUGGGCGUAAAGAGCGUGUAGGCGGCCCGAUAAGUCCGCCGUGAAAGUCCGGGGCUCAACCCUGGAAUGCCGGUGGAAACUGUCGGGCUGGAGUCCGGAAGAGGCGAGUGGAAUUCCUGGUGUAGCGGUGAAAUGCGCAGAUAUCAGGAGGAACACCAAUGGCGAAGGCAGCUCGCUGGGACGGUACUGACGCUGAGACGCGAAAGCGUGGGGAGCAAACAGG